CCCGGGCAGAGCCGGGCCCUGCCGGGAAGGGGACGGGAGGAUGCUCCGGAGCCUCGGCCCGAGGGAAGCUUCGCUGGCUGAGAGUAAAACCUCCAGAAGGAAGCCUGGGAGAAGCCACAGGAAUCCCGGCUGGUGUUGGAUGUUUGCCCCUGACACGUGUGACCGCAACAAUCACUUCAGCGAAAACCAGCUGGAAAAUAUCUGUUUGGAAGAUGACACUUAAAAACCCAUUUGUAAUGAAAUGGACUGGCUUCAGAUUGCCGUGGGAAAUGAGGAAUUCAGCUGGAAUUGUGAUUUCAGUGGCUGAGGGGGCUCAGCACACACCAAAGGUGAGCCAGGCCCUGGCUGUUCAUGGGAGCUCCCGGUAAAUCCUUCAGUGAAGCAAACUUAGGAAAUUGAAGAGAAACAGAAAAGCACUUUGCAGGUUUUUCCAAAGUCUGUAGCAGCCAAUAGAAAAUCAUCAUCUCUAUCUGCUUGUGAAUUGUGCAGCACAGAUGUGGCUUCAGAUUAAAUCCCAUAAAAGCAAUCGAUAAAUCUGCAGAAUCCAGUACCUGCAAUUAAAUUCUCCAGAGCUGCUCUCUAAGUACACAAAUUGGGAGCUCAGAAAGGACCUCUGCCUCUUGAUGCAUCAUUUUUUUGCUGUGAACGCUCCUCCUAAUGAAAAAUGAUGGCAAACAAAAAUAGAUUUUCUGUCAUGGGGGUAAUUGUU